rnacentral:rRNA from 1 species
CCUACGGGAGGCAGCAGUGAGGAAUAUUGGUCAAUGGGCGCUAGCCUGAACCAGCCAAGUCGCGUGAAGGAUGACUGCCCUAUGGGUUGUAAACUUCUUUUAUAUGGGAAUAAAGUGCCGUAUGUGUACUGCUUUGCAUGUACCUUAUGAAUAAGGAUCGGCUAACUCCGUGCCAGCAGCCGCGGUAAUACGGAGGAUCCGAGCGUUAUCCGGAUUUAUUGGGUUUAAAGGGUGCGGAGGCGGGUUUUUAAGUCAGUUGUGAAAGUUUGCGGCUCAACCGUAAAGUUGCAGUUGAUACUGGCAUCCUUGAGGAGAGUAGAGGUAGGCGGAAUGCGUGGUGUAGCGGUGAAAUGCAUAGAUAUCACGAAGAACUCCGAUUGCGAAGGCAGCCUGCUGGACUGUAACUGACGCUGAUGCACGAAAGUGUGGGUAUCAAACAGGAUUAGAUACCCUGGUAGUC